GCCUGCUGGUUUGGUGGUUUGUUGUAUAUUAGUUUGUCUCUAGGUUUUGGGUUCGACUCCUUGUAUGUACUUUUUGGAGGAAUAUUUUUAUUUUGUUUUGUUUGUUUUGUUUUAAUUUAAAAUAUAUAAUUAUUUAUUUAUUUAUUUUUUCUUUCUCAUGGAUGUUUUCCUCUUCUUUUUCUCUCUGUUUCUUUUCUUUUUGUUUCUCUAUUACUUUUUGUUUUAAUUAAUUCUCAAAAAUAGUUUUGCUGGUCGAUUUCGGGAAUUUCGCUCCUCCGUUGUCGAGUCAGUAUCUGGGCAUCUCUAAUUGUGAAUCAUGUGUGGGUUCCUUAUCUUUCUAAUGUAUUUGUGAAUUCUCGUUUCGACUUCGUGAAAGUCGGCAUUUUAUGCGUGAGUUCUCAAAUCGAUUAUUUACAAUGUGGUAUCGUUGUUUUAAGCUUAGAAUUUGUAUGAUUUGGUAUAAUUUCGAACUAUUAAGGGCUGAGAAGUGCUUCGUGGGUGAAGGCACGUUUUUCUGGGCUAUUUUUGGGUAGUUUCGUGACCACACGGGUGGCUACACGGGCGUGUGGCAAUUCACACGACCGUGUGUAUCUAAGAAUUAUGGUUUCUGGGUAAAAUUUAGUGCGACACGGCUUAGCUGCACGGCCAUGUGGCCGACUUGGGGAUUUUUUUCGAUUUAUACGUGGCCGUGUCUCCUGGACAGACAGGCAUGUGUGUUUGGGAAUUAAGGAUUUAGUGUUUUGGCGCCACAUGCCCAUGUGGCUAAUUUAGGGACAUGAGGAUCCCACGGGUGAAUUUUUUAGACACACGAGCAUAUGAGACCCUCAUACGGCCAUGUCUACCCUGUACUCUAUUUUAGCACAAUUGGACAAUGAGUUACACAGCUUGUUCACACAGCCGUAUCCUUAUUUCACACGAGCUGUACCUCUUCCACAUGGGCGUUUUGACAUCCAUACAGCCUAGCUUUUCCCCCACGGCUGGGACACUCAGCCGUGUGAUUCUAAGUCACUUAUUUGGUUCUGUAUAUGUUAUUUUAUCUAAGAAUUUGACUGUGUGUUUCGGCCAUGGCUGAACUUUAGUGAGGAUGGCUAAGAUUUCUGAUUUGGGCUUCGGCUUAUGUGUUAUUUGUGACUGAGGUGUGAGAUGUUUGACUCUGAGUCCGGUCUACUGGGUGUGUGUGCAUAUCUACUUCUGUCUGAUUGUCUGUUGACGUGUUCAUCAUUUCCGUGUGUUUGAAUGCAUACAUGCAUUUGCAUUAAUUAUUUUGGGUUUGGUUGUGAAGAGAAGGAAAACUGUUUUUAUUCUGGUCUGGCAAUUUAACUGCAAGCUUAUUUGUAUAGCGGUUUACCACACUAUACCACACGUACUUCAGCUAUGCUGCGUACCAGUAUCUGAUCUGACUGUUUAAACUGUAUCAUAACUGUAUAGCGGACUACCGCAUUGCACUGUACUGCAUAUACGCCAUGUAACACCCCAAACUCGACCUAGACUUUAG
rnacentral:lncRNA from 1 species